rnacentral:rRNA from 1 species
GACGAACGCUGGCGGCGUGCCUAAUACAUGCAAGUCGAACGCAUUUUCUUUCACCGUAGCUUGCUACACCGAAAGAAAAUGAGUGGCGAACGGGUGAGUAACACGUGGGUAACCUGCCCAUCAGCGGGGGAUAACACUUGGAAACAGGUGCUAAUACCGCAUAAUUCCAUUUACCGCAUGGUAAAUGGAUGAAAGGCGCUUUUGCGUCACUGAUGGAUGGACCCGCGGUGCAUUAGCUAGUUGGUGGGGUAACGGCCUACCAAGGCUGCGAUGCAUAGCCGACCUGAGAGGGUGAUCGGCCACACUGGGACUGAGACACGGCCCAGACUCCUACGGGAGGCAGCAGUAGGGAAUCUUCGGCAAUGGACGCAAGUCUGACCGAGCAACGCCGCGGGAGUGAAGAAGGGUUUCGGAUUGUAAAACUCUGUUGUUAGAGAAGAACAAGGAUGAGAGUGGAAAGUUCAUCCCUUGACGGUAUCUAACCAGAAAGCCACGGCUAACUACGUG